rnacentral:rRNA from 1 species
GAUGAACGCUGACAGAAUGCUUAACACAUGCGAGUCUUUGGCGAAUCUGUGCUUGCACAGGCUAGCCAAGGCGGACGGGUGAGUAACGCGUAAAGAACUUGCCCUGCAGACAGGGAUAACAGACGGAAACGACUGAUAACACCUGAUACAGUUGCCGGCACGCAUGUGCCUGGCAAUGAAAAGAGAUGCUGCAGGAGAGCUUUGCGUCCUAUUAGCUUGUUGGUGAGGUGACGGCUCACCAAGGCGAUGAUAGGUAGCCGGCCUGAGAGGGUGAACGGCCACAAGGGGACUGAGAUACGGCCCUUACUCCUACGGGAGGCAGCAGUGGGGAAUAUUGGACAAUGGGGGCAACCCUGAUCCAGCAAUUCUGUGUGCACGAAGAAGGUUUUCGGAGUGUAAAGUGCUUUCAGCAGGGAAGAAGAAAGUGACGGUACCUGCAGAAGAAGCGACGGCUAAAUACGUG